rnacentral:rRNA from 1 species
CCCGAGUGCUUGCACUCAAUUGGAAAGAGGAGUGGCGGACGGGUGAGUAACACGUGGGUAACCUACCCAUCAGAGGGGGAUAACACUUGGAAACAGGUGCUAAUACCGCAUAACAGUUUAUGCCGCAUGGCAUAAGAGUGAAAGGCGCUUUCGGGUGUCGCUGAUGGAUGGACCCGCGGUGCAUUAGCUAGUUGGUGAGGUAACGGCUCACCAAGGCCACGAUGCAUAGCCGACCUGAGAGGGUGAUCGGCCACACUGGGACUGAGACACGGCCCAGACUCCUACGGGAGGCAGCAGUAGGGAAUCUUCGGCAAUGGACGAAAGUCUGACCGAGCAACGCCGCGUGAGUGAAGAAGGUUUUCGGAUCGUAAAACUCUGUUGUUAGAGAAGAACAAGGACGUUAGUAACUGAACGUCCCCUGACGGUAUCUAACCAGAAAGCCACGGCUAACUACGUGCCAGCAGCCGCGGUAAUACGUAGGUGGCAAGCGUUGUCCGGAUUUAUUGGGCGUAAAGCGAGCGCAGGCGGUUUCUUAAGUCUGAUGUGAAAGCCCCCGGCUCAACCGGGGAGGGUCAUUGGAAACUGGGAGACUUGAGUGCAGAAGAGGAGAGUGGAAUUCCUGUGUUAAACC